UACGUAGGUGACCAGCGUUGUCCGGAUUUACUGGGCGUAAAGAGCGCGCAGGCGGUCGUUCAAGUCGAGUGUGAAAGCCCCCGGCUCAACUGGGGAGGGUCACGCGAUACUGAUCGACUCGAAGGCAGGAGAGGGUAGUGGAAUUCCCGGUGUAGUGGUGAAAUGCGUAGAUAUCGGGAGGAACACCAGUGGCGAAGGCGACUACCUGGCCUGUUCUUGACGCUGAGACGCGAAAGCGCGGGGAGCGAACGGG
rnacentral:rRNA from 1 species